UGGGGAAUUUUGGACAAUGGGCGCAAGCCUGAUCCAGCCAUGCCGCGUGCGGGAAGAAGGCCUUCGGGUUGUAAACCGCUUUUGUCAGGGAAGAAAUCUUCUGAGUUAAUACCUCGGGAGGAUGACGGUACCUGAAGAAUAAGCACCGGCUAACUACGUGCCAGCAGCCGCGGUAAUACGUAGGGUGCAAGCGUUAAUCGGAAUUACUGGGCGUAAAGCGUGCGCAGGCGGUUUUGUAAGACAGAGGUGAAAUCCCCGGGCUCAACCUGGGAACUGCCUUUGUGACUGCAAGGCUUGAGUGCGGCAGAGGGGGAUGGAAUUCCGCGUGUAGCAGUGAAAUGCGUAGAUAUGCGGAGGAAACACCGAUGGCGAAGGCAAUCCCCUGGGCCUGCACUGACGCUCAUGCACGAAAGCGUGGGGAGCAAACAGGAUUAGAUACCCUGGUAGUCCACGCCCUAAACGAUGUCAACUGGUUGUUGGGAAGGUUCCUUCUCAGUAACGUAGCUAACGCGUGAAGUUGACCGCCUGGGGAGUACGGCCGCAAGGUU
rnacentral:rRNA from 1 species